AACCCAUCAUAAGACAUAAUGGCAUCAAGUUCUCAUGAUGUUCACUCACCAUGUGCUACCUACGCUCCUGCAACUGAGUCACCGUCUGUUUCUGAGCAGAACAUCAGGAUCAACGAGGAACCCAUGACACAAGUAAGCAGAUGAACCCAUCAUAAUGACAUCAAGAUCCCAAGAUGUUCACUCUCUAUGCGCAACCUACGCUCUUGAAACCGAGUCUACCCCCUCUGUUGUCAACACUUCCGAGCAGAACAUUAGGAACAACAAGGAACCCAUGAUCGAGCAAGGUUCAGUCAUGGUCUACAGCAGCAGUACCCCUUGAUCAGCCUGCUCUCGAUGUAUGUGUAAAACUCAGCCUGGGGAGAUUCAUCAUUCUUGGAUGUCACCAUCAGAUGAAAGCAUCCUCAUCAGUUGACGGCGAGGAAAA